rnacentral:lncRNA from 1 species
GACACCUAAGAGUUCAACUGUCAACUCUGAUCAGGUUGUCCACGUUGUAUUUCAAAAUAUCAAUCCAUCUGAUGGAUUAUCCUGGCCAAGAUUUUGCUAAAUUGAAAUACAGCGACUCAUUCUUCUCCAACUUUUGGAGUGGUCAAUCCCAUCUUGAUCACACUCUGACUUUGCAAGUACUUGAUUGUGCCCAGAAGCCUUCUGUCAUUGAAUUAGAAAUUCAGUUAGUCC